rnacentral:rRNA from 1 species
AGCGAACGCUGGCGGCAUGCCUAACACAUGCAAGUCGAACGAGAUCUUCGGGUCUAGUGGCGCACGGGUGCGUAACGCGUGGGAAUCUGCCCUUCGGUUCGGAAUAACAGUUGGAAACGACUGCUAAUACCGGAUGAUGACGAAAGUCCAAAGAUUUAUCGCCAGAGGAUGAGCCCGCGUAGGAUUAGCUAGUUGGUGUGGUAAAGGCGCACCAAGGCGACGAUCCUUAGCUGGUCUGAGAGGAUGAUCAGCCACACUGGGACUGAGACACGGCCCAGACUCCUACGGGAGGCAGCAGUGGGGAAGAUUGGACAAUGGGCGAAAGCCUGAUCCAGCAAUGCCGCGUGAGUGAUGAAGGCCUUAGGGUUGUAAAGCUCUUUUACCCGGGAUGAUAAUGACAGUACCGGGAGAAUAAGCUCCGGCUAACUCCGUGCCAGCAGCCGCCGUAA